GAUGAACGCUGACAGAAUGCUUAACACAUGCAAGUCAACUGUGGCGGACGUGUGAGUAACGCGUAAAGAACUUGCCUCACAGAUAGGGACAACCUUUGGAAACGAAUGCUAAUACCGGAUACUGUGGGAGAGCUUUGCGUCCCAUUAGCUAGUUGGAGAGGUAACGGCUCACCAAGGCGAUGAUGGGUAGCCGGCCUGUGAGGGUGAUCGGCCACAGGGGGACUGAGAGACGGCCCUUAGUCCUACUGGAGGCAGCAGUGGGGAAUAUUGGACAAUGGACCAAAGUCUGAUCCAGCAAUUCUGUGUGCACGAUGAAGUUUUCGGAAUGUAAAGUGCUUUCAGUUGGGAAGCAGUACCAACAGAAGAAGUGACGGCUAAAUACGUGCCAGCAGCCGCGGUAAUAC
rnacentral:rRNA from 1 species